ACAAAUGCCAAAUAAAUUCAAUUAAAUCAAAAUAAGGAAGAAAUCGAAUUCUACCCUAUUUCACACGUCUAAACCGUUUCUCCCCUCUCUCCUCACUCCCUAAAUCUCUCCCACAUCUUUAACUACCUCUCCCUUUAAUUUAAAUCACCAAAACAGUUUAUCUUCUUUCUUCUAUCCGUUCUGUGCAACAAAGAAAACAAGCAUUCAUUCUUUCAACUUCUACUCAAGAAACUGAGAAAAGCCAAAUUUAGGAGAGAAGGCCCUACGUCGUUUCGUCCUUGUUUCAUUCACAAUCGGUGAAUCAUCGCAAGGGAAUCGUGAUCGCAAGGGAAAGAACAUAAUUUCAAAUUAAGCACUCGAGGUUGAGCGGCGACGAGCAAUUGGUGGUUAGUUGUGAUCUACGAGUGUCGUUGUGUCUCCACACAUGACGUCACUCUUUCUCUUGAACCCUUCCGCUGAGACAUUGUUUUUACUCAUCAAUCUUUUAGCUUUGAACCUAAUUUAUUUGGAUAAUGUCAACCUCUUGGCCCAUUUUUAUUAAAUAUUAAUUAUUGGUCAAACUCAUUAUUGAAACCCUAGUUUCCUUCGUCUGUUUACUAAGUUCUUCUAAUCACGAUCGCCCGUAUUUAUUAACCCCAAAGGGCGGUCGUGACAGUUUGGUAUCAGAGCCUCAGUUUCUUUCUGCUCUGGACCCAAGAGUCUUUUGGAGUCAAAAUCUAUCAUUGCAUUAAUUGGCUAAAGUGUUAAACAUCGAAGGCUCAACACCACAACUCGUCACGCCCAACCACGAAAGAAGAGGUAAGAAUAUUUUGGCGACUUUUAAAUGAUUUACCGAAAUUUUGAAAUUCGAUGGGAAAAUGGUCUCCUUGUGAAAAUGGCAAUUUUUGGGCCUAUUGGAAAUUAAAGCUUGCAUUGAUAUGAUAUUCUGGAGGACAAUAGAAUGGUUCAAUGACCGGUCAAUUGCAUCAACACAGUGUGCCACACCACUUACCCCGUGGGCGCAUGAAAAGGUAUGCAAAAAUGAUGCAAAAGGUCAAUUACAUAAUGUGAGAGCACCCAACACAAUUGCAGGCCAUUAUGUGGUUCAAACAAAGCGUCGAAUUGGUGGAAAGGGCGCUAAUAAGUGGAAGGUAAAGUACUUGGAGUCGCACUGCAAAUGUCAAAAGUGGCAGAUGUGGAGACUUCCAUGUUCACAUGCAGCGGCAGUUGCGCGGUUUAGAAACGACAACAUGUUGUCGCUUGUUGAUCACGUAUACCGCACAAGUGUUUGGGUACACCAAUAUUCUACGGUGUUCAAUCCACCCAGACACCAAGAUUAUUGGGUCGUGCCUGAAUGGACUUUGCAAUGUUCACGAGCUCAG